rnacentral:rRNA from 1 species
UGAACGCUGGCGGCAGGCCUAACACAUGCAAGUCGAGCGGCAGCACGGGUACUUGUACCUGGUGGCGAGCGGCGGACGGGUGAGUAAUGCCUAGGAAUCUGCCUGGUAGUGGGGGAUAACGCUCGGAAACGGACGCUAAUACCGCAUACGUCCUACGGGAGAAAGCAGGGGACCUUCGGGCCUUGCGCUAUCAGAUGAGCCUAGGUCGGAUUAGCUUGUUGGUGAGGUAAUGGCUCACCAAGGCGACGAUCCGUAACUGGUCUGAGAGGACGAUCAGCCACACUGGGACUGAGACACGGCCCAGACUCCUACGGGAGGCAGCAGUGGGGAAUAUUGGACAAUGGGCGAAAGCCUGAUCCAGCCAUGCCGCGUGUGUGAAGAAGGUCUUCGGAUUGUAAAGCACUUUAAGUUGGGAGGAAGGGCAUUAACCUAAUACGUUAGUGUUUUGACGUUACCGACAGAAUAAGCACCGGCUAACUCUGUGCCAGGAG